GAAGUGUAAAAACGAAAUAAAACGAAUGCGGAAUUUUAAUUGCUUCUGGAAGGAGUUGUUUUCAUUUAGCAAAGCAUUUUUAAAUGUAUAAAUGGAUGUAAUUGUUCUUUUUUUGGUAAAAGAAAUGCGUUUAUACAAUUAACAAUGUGGUUCGUAAUUUUUAUUUAUAAGUUUCAGAAGGUAAGAAUUUUACGUUUCAUAUUAAAUUGAUAAAAUUAUUUCAAAGGUUUUAUUUGAACAGGUCUUGAUUUGCUAUAAUAAGUGAAUGAGAAUGAGGUAAUGUAUUAUUUGCCGUAAUAUGCACUAUCCUAAAAGUAUACUAUACUGUUGAUAUUAUACAGUAUUAUUUAUUUUAACUAAAACGAUCUGUUAUAACACAAAUCACAUUUGCAUGAAGCGAUGAGGGGCGUACAAUAAAACACUGAUGAUAUUUUUCAGUAUUUUAGAAUUUAAUCGAUUUGUUACAACUGUAUUUACUAAACACAAUUACUCUUCGCAUUUUACAUGAGGCGUCGACCCAGUAAAGUGAGUUCUCCACAGAUAUUCUACACGGACAAUACAUAGAUACAUGGAUACAAUACUGCAAGAGGUUUUUAGCCUCGGUCAUACAUGUACAUGGGACAUGUGUGGACACUCUUGAACAUUUGUGCAAAGUUGUUUUUUUAGAUCGGAAGAAGGAACACUUAAUGAUUUGGACACAGAAAUUACUUUCGACGGCGCCAAUCGAUCUGCCCCGCUUUCAAGUUGUUAACGCUAAUAUUAGCUCACCUAGGCAAACCAUGUUCUUUGCUAUCCCAGUUCUAUCGUAUACAAAAACGUGUGUUAAAAUAGCUGAAAUGCUUAAAGUGAAUAGUAAAAUGAUCUUAUCAGCAGGUCAUAGUUCAAGGAUAAUGGCCUUUUAAGUUAGGCACCAGCAAAUGUUAUUCUAAAUAACAUAGACAAGUCCUUUGUAGUAAGUAAAAUUACAUAGAUAAAAUCUAGGUGGUUCCCAAACUAGCAUGUGGUACACGCAUAUGGGAGUCGAAAGUUAAUACAGAGGUUGCGAACUAUUUUUUCUAUACGUUUGCUUUAAUAUUUUUUGAAAACGUCCAAAUGUAUUCUUUUUUAAUUGGUUAUCUGAAAGCAGUUGUCGUAAUUGAGCAAAACCAUAAGCACAUAAGGCGCCAUGCAAUAAUUUAAAUAAUAUAAUAAUUUUAAAAAUACAUUGAAAGCUACAGGGACAUGCAUUUGAACAUUUAGGUUUGCUUUUACUCGAAACGAGAAUGGUUACGGAGGUGACAAAGGUAACGUAUUUUUGCCGUAAUAUGCACUAUCCUAAAACUAUACUAGAUGUUCAUACGUUUGUCAAAACUAAUGAGCGCCGUUCACUAAAACACUGUCCGGCCCUAAUUUCUUGAAAAUUCUUAAGCGUAACUCACUUAAGUAUCCCAUUUUAUUUAGCAAUAUUACUUACAUAAAUAUGAUUUUAUGAAACAGCAAGUAGUUUAUCAUAUUUAUCUUAAAUAGUAUUUAUUUUAAAAGCCUAAAAACCUUUUUAAAAGAGAACAUUACACAAUUUAUACCAAAUCAAAAAUAGCGUGCUGAACUUGAUACUUUAUAAGGGACAUAAAUUGGGGCCAGAUGUUCAGUGUUUUAGAGUUUUAACUAAUAAACAUACGAUCUGUUAUAAUUGCAUUUACUUAUCACAAUCUCAUUUACAUGUUGCGGCGUUUCAAUGUGUUUCGUGUACUAUUACUGUAGCUGCGUACAAUAAAACACUGCCAUGACACGUCGUCCCAACGUGGUGAAACAUUAUUUUCGUUUUCUUUUCUUCAAAUACCCCCACAGCAGAUUGGCUAACAGGACAAGAAAUGUUUGCAUCGAUUAAGGAUUGCAAGAGGUUUUUGGCCUCGGUCAUACACAAGACAUGUGUUCACAAUCUUGUAUACUUUUGCGAAGUUAUUUAAACGUUGGAAAUAGGAAUGGCGAUUUGGACACAGGACUUCUAAAAACGGCGCCGAUGGAGUUGCUCCUAUCUGCCCUGUAUUCAUUUAAGGCUAACAGUCACUCAAUAGCUUAGUAACUGAGACUGGUGUCGAAAGUUGCAAGGCUUCUCGGGUAUGUAAGAGUUUUGUCCGUUAUGGAGCUAUGCAGCGUCCCCGGAAGUGAGUACGGACGUUCAAAUCGGAAGUCCGGAUCUAGCUUGUAGCCGUUCUCCUCCCGACGACCGCCAGCUGACGCCACUUCAUAUUUUAGACGCGAUACCGCUGUCAACGUCGAUUCCCCUUUCUUACUUCGAACACGUUCGUGGAAAACAAAACCGGUUUUCUUAAAAUCCACCACUGGACACCAAUCGCGACCUGAACGGAGAUGGCAAAGAACCACAUGAAGAGAGUGUUUAUUCUUGAAACCUCUCCGC